UACAAAAAGUGUCACGAUAGCAUAUGUGCA
rnacentral:sRNA from 1 species